AGGAUCUGGGGGGGAAGUCACGUGACUGUUGUCCUGUUCUCACUUUGUCCUCCUCAGAUCAAACUGGAGCUCCACACUGAGCUCUGUGAGUCAAACUCUGGAUCAAACAUUUUAUGG